AAUUCUAGACCAAUAGUGGGACCGGAUUUUUGCCCUAUAAGUUUCGAUAAUUCUAAAGAGUGAAAAGUGAUGUUUAUCUGGUAUGGGACAUAUUUUUAAGCAUAUUUGUAAUAUAUGAAGAAAAUUUAGAACGAGCGUUAGAUAUAAAUAAGGUAUUUAUGUAUUUUUAUUGAUGAAUUUUGAAUAUUGAAUUAAAGUACAAAAUUUAAGCAUCGUCUUUUAUAAUAUGUAUGACGCUUUAUGCUAUCAAAUUUUUAGAAAAAAAUUCAACGUGCUACUUUGUCAAACUCAAAUUAGCUUAUUAUUUUGUCAAUAUUGAAUUAAAGUUUGAAAAAUCCACAAUAUCAUAUCUAAAUUCUUAAGUUAAUAGGCAAGGCAAAAAAUUAGAAGAAUAGGAUAUGUGCUUUACAAUUAAUAUGCGUUUUUUGUCCUGUAAGAUCUAAUAUUGAAUUAAAGUCCGUAGAGAUAAGUCUAUUACUAUAAAAUAAUAUAUGCAGCCAUUUUAUGGAAAGGUAGAAAUAUCUGUGUGUAGCUUGCAUUGUAAUAGUAAAAUCAACUUAAAAAGGCGCGAAAUUCAUAACCACGCCGCGCUGGUCCGUCAACAUGUCGGCUCGGCGCGCGGGAGCCUAUCGUAGCCGACCUAGUGAGCGAUAGAUACCUCGCCCCGCCCGCGCUCCCCGCUCAGCUUCGCAAGCGCUGUUUGUCUUUUCUUUCAAAUCAUUCAUUUGUUUGUUUAUCGUGCACAUAACUUAGAUGCGGACAUUACAUGAAUUUAAUUAUAGAAUAAAAGUUAUUAUGACUUCAAAAUGAGUGAAAAAUGUUUGAUAUGUGUACUGUACUGUACUGACUUAGUAACAGAGAAAAAACGAGGAAUUGAGCAGUUAAUAACUGCGAGCAAAUAAUCUCUCUUGGUGAUGGGAAAGUUAAAUAUUUCUACGGGAAGGAGGAACUACGUUUCCAUAAAAAGUGUAGAUUAUACAUUGAGUCGAAGGCUAUACCGGCGUACAAAAGACUAAUGGAGGUGGCAUCAGAGGGCUUACCGCGUAACACGUCGAACGUGGUUCGCGAUAGGCCCUCAAAUGUACAGCCAAGUGACGAUGAUGAAAAUUACAUUUUCAAAACUUUUGUCUUUUGUUACCAUUGUGUUAGCCGCCUGUACUUACUUUCAACAUAAAUAUUAGUAGUUUAUGUUACUGCUACAUAAUAAAAUGCAUUAAAAUACACGAGUGUGGGCUUAGGAAACGAACGAAGUGAGUUUCUUAAAAAGAUCACACGAGUGUUUUAAUGCCUAAUUAUCUUAUACCUUUAAACGAGCAAUUCUUGUAUAUAUAUAUAUUUCCGGGAUCUCGGAAACGGCUCUAACGAUUUUGCUGAAAUUUGGUAUAUGGGGGUUUUGGGGGUAAACAAUCGAUCUAGAUUAGUCUUAUGUUUGGGAAAACGCGUGUUUUCUAGUUUUCAUGCGUUUUUCUUUCGACGCAGAAUAUGGUCGCUAAUUUCGUGUUGCCGGCCACUGUCCGUCUGGUCCAGCGGGUUAAGACGCGGACUGCUAAACGAGUGUUACGGGUUCGAAUCUCGCCUGGUGACUAACUUUUGUUUUUUUUUAUAUGUUCAAUUUUAUAUAUAA